rnacentral:rRNA from 1 species
GUGUCAGCCGCCGCGGUAAUACGGGAGUGGCAAGCGUUAUCCGGAAUUAUUGGGCGUAAAGCGUCCGCAGGCGGUCUUGUAAGUCUGUCGUUAAAACGUGGAGCUUAACUCCAUUUCGGCGGUGGAAACUACAAGACUAGAGUGUGGUAGGGGCAGAGGGAAUUCCCGGUGUAGCGGUGAAAUGCGUAGAUAUCGGGAAGAACACCAGUGGCGAAGGCGCUCUGCUGGGCCAUAACUGACGCUCAUGGACGAAAGCCAGGGGAGCGAAAGGGAUUAGAUACCCCUGUAGUCCUGGCCGUAAACGAUGAACACUAGGUGUCGGGGGAAUCGACCCCCUCGGUGUCGUAGCCAACGCGUUAAGUGUUCCGCCUGGGGAGUACGCACGCAAGUGUGAAACUCAAAUGAAUUGACGGGG